CAGUAGCCGCGGUAAAACGAAGGGUGCAAGCGUUACUCGGAAUUACUGGGCGUAAAGCGUGCGUAGGUGGUGGUUUAAGUCCGUUGUGAAAGCCCUGGGCUCAACCUGGGAAUUGCAGUGGAUACUGGAUCACUAGAGUGUGGUAGAGGAUAGUGGAAUUUCCGGUGUAGCAGUGAAAUGCGCAGAGAUCGGAAGGAACAUCUGUGGCGAAGGCGACUAUCUGGGCCAACACUGACACUGAGGCACGAAAGCGUGGGGAGCAAACAGGAUUAGAUACCCCCGUAGUCCCUGUCUCUUAUAC
rnacentral:rRNA from 1 species